GACGAACGCUGGCGGCGUGCCUAAUACAUGCAAGUCGAACGCAGUGGGGACGGGUGAGUAACACGUGGGUAACCUCCCAUCAGAGGGGAUAACACUUGGAAACAGGUGCUAAACCGAUACUGAUGGAUGAACCCGCGGUGAAUUAGCUAGUGGGUGAGGUAACGGCUCACCAAGGCCACGAUCCAUAGCGGACCUGAGAGGUGGAUCGGCCACACUGGGACUGGGACACGGCCCAGACUCCUACGGGAGGAAGCAGUAGGGAAUCUUCGGCAAUGGACGAAAGUCUGACCGAGCAACGCCGCGUGAGUGAAGAAGGUUUUCGGUUCGUAAAACUCUGUUGUUAGGGAGGCGGUAUCUAACCAGAAAGCCACGGCUAACUACGUGCCAGCCGCCGCGGUAAUUC
rnacentral:rRNA from 1 species